UUUAACCUAGUUUAAUUAAAAUAAAGGCUUGUCAAGCCUUAGAUGCGCUGGAAUUGUGCGGUUGAAA